AGCUUUGCACAGUGGCAGUAUCACAGCAAAUGAGGUUUAUCUGAGGCACAAUUAUUGCUAACUGAAAACUUUUUCCAAUUUCCUGCUGUGACGACUUGAAAUAUAGUUGGCAUUGGCAAGAAUAAAUAAGUAAAUAAAUAA